ensembl:lncRNA
UGAUGAUGCUGGAUGUGUUGCUGCCGACACGUACUGCCUGAGGUCUUCCAGACGGUAGUCAUUGAAGCAGGAUGGAGAUGGCUUCUUCGGGACUGGAAUGAUGGUGGUAGCUUUGAAGCAUGUGGGAACAACAGCCUGACUAAGUGAGAUGUUGAAAAUGUCUGUGAAGACAUCAGUGAGUUCUGCUGCACAGUCUCUCAGUACAUGCCCAGGAAUGUUGUCAGGACCCGGAGCUUUGCGUGCAUUGAUCCUGCUGAAGGAUCUCCUCACGCUGUCCGGGGUCAGCAUCAUCACCUGGUCACUGGGAGGAGGUGGAGUCUUCUGUGCAGUGGAGCUGUUUUGUGCCUCAAAGCGAGCGAAGAAGGUGUUCAGCUCGUUCAGCAGAGAGAUGUUGCUGUCACGGGUCCGCUGUGGGGGCUUGUAGUCCGUAAUGGUCUGUAUCCCCUGCCACAGGCUCCGAGUGUCUGUGCUGUCACUGAAUUGAUGGGCUAUCCUCCUGGAGUACUGUCUCUUAGCCUCUCUGAUGCCGCAGUAUAGGUUGGCCCUGGCUGUUCUCAGGCCCCCCUCAUCUCCAGCUCUGAAGGCAGCAUUCCGCGUCUCCAGGAGUCUGUAGACCUCCCCUGUCAUCCACGGCUUCUGGUUGGCCCGGACAGUGAUGGUUUUUGUGACUGUUACAUCCUCAAUACACUUGGUGAUGUAGGCAGUGACAGUCUCCGAGUACUCCUGGAGGUCAGUGGUGUUAUUGUAAGUGGCAGCCUGCUUAAACAUAUUCCAGUCAGAUGUAUCAAAGCAGUCUUGAAGAGCGUCAGACGACCCUUCUGGCCACACUUGAAUCUAGCCGGCACUUAAUAAUCAUAAACUCCACCAGGGGUGAGCAGUGUUUGCAGAUCACAACAGCAUCACGGCACCACACGUCAUUGAUGUAAACACAAAGCCCGCUGCCGCGGGUUUUUCCUCCCGCGACGCGAGCUCUGUCUGCUCGAUAGCACGUCAGCUGGUCGAGCUGAAUGGCGCAGUCUGGAACGCUGUCGCUGAGCCAUGUUUCCGUGAAUACAAACACACAACAGUCUCUUACAGUCCUUUGAGUUGAACGUAGUAAUCGGAUGUAGUCCAGUUUAUUGUCCAAAGAGCGUACAUUAGCCAGUACGAUGGUGGGGAUAGAUGGCUUGUCUGGGUUAGCCG